rnacentral:rRNA from 1 species
AGUGAACGUUGGCGGCGUGGAUUAGGCAUGCAAGUCGAGCGAGAACCGUAGCAAUACGGGGACAGCGGCGAAAGGGACAGUAAUGUGUAGGUACCUACCCCGAGGUCUGGGAUAGCUGCGGGAAACUGCAGGUAAUACCGGAUAAUGUCUUCGGACCAAAGGUGUGAUUCCACCUUGGGAGGGGCCUGCAUCCUAUUAGCUAGUUGGCGGGGUAAUGGCCCACCAAGGCGACGAUGGGUAGCGGGUGUGAGAGCACGACCCGCGUCAUUGGGACUGAGACACUGCCCAGACACCUACGGGGGGCUGCAGUCGAGGAUCUUCGGCAAUGGGCGAAAGCCUGACCGAGCGACGCCGCGUGCGGGAUGAAGGCCUUCGGGUUGUAAACCGCUGUCGUAGAGGAGGAAAUGCAGGUGGGUUCUCCCAUCUGUUUGACCUAUUCUAGGAGGAGGUACGGGCUAAGUUCGUGCCAGCCGCCGCCGUAA